GACGAACCGAGCGAACGUUGUUCGGAAUCACUGGGCUUAAAGGGCGCGUAGGCGGGUGCUCAAGUCCGGGGGUGAAAUCCCACAGCUCAACUGUGGAAUUGCCUCGGAUACUGGGUGCCUCGAGGGUGGUAGGGGUAUGCGGAACUAUCGGUGGAGCGGUGAAAUGCGUUGAUAUCGAUAGGAACUCCGGUGGCGAAGGCGGCAUACUGGACCACCUCUGACGCUGAGGCGCGAAAGCCAGGGGAGCAAACGGG
rnacentral:rRNA from 1 species